rnacentral:lncRNA from 1 species
ACCGCCAUACUUUUUGAAACCACCACAAAACCAUCGCUCGAUCCACGACUUUGCCCUUCAUCUCCUUCCACCUUUGAACCACGAAUCAUCGACGAUUUAACAAAUCCGCUGCCAUCUCAACCUCUCCUUCUGAUUCAUAAUUUUCUUCCAUCGCGCCGAAUUUCCUCCAUGUAUGCACCAGACCAACGGAUCUCUCCUUCGUAAGUCCUUACUCCAGUCAAGCUUUGUUUGCCAUGCAACAUUAAAACAAGCAACCUUCCUUCAGAUUAUCUCUCCGUCUCUGAUUCAUGCAGCAACCACAAGUGACCACCGCAACAUUGGAUAUGGUUAUUUUGCUCGUCGCAGGCAUAAUGCUCAAAAGUAUUCAAAAGCGUUAGCGCGAGGUAUUAAGUUUGUGUUUUUAAUUUUCGAAUCCUCCAUGUUUCAUGUUGCUUGCUGUGUUUUUGUGAAGGUAAUGGGCUAUGUAGCUAUUGAUUAAAUUUUUUACGGUUACCUGUUGUUUCUGACUUAGGUCUGUUUUGGACCUUAUUAAGUUUAAGUUUUCAUGUAAGAGUUUAACAUUCGUUUUUAAAAGGAGUUUGUGUUUAGGCUGUUCAUAAUACUUUGGAUGAAUUUUAUGUUCUGUGAGUUAUUCUAUCAUGAUAAAUCAAGUUUAUGUUUAUUGCUUUGAUAAUUAUGGAUUGUGUUUUACAUCUAAUCACUUAUGAUUUUGGAAUUGCAGUCAUUUUUGUUUUGAAUUCUUAUAUAGUUUUGUUCCCUGCAUUUGUAUGCUUGAAUUGAUAGAGAAAGAAGAUGUUGGAUCUGUUAAUUUAGGUUUGGUUAUUUUUUCAUUGUUGCCACUUCAUAAGUGGGAAAGAAGGAAUGAAGUUAAAUUUCAAUUCCACGUUUCUUUUUUUACAAAUUGUGCAUCUGUUCAUUUGAGCAAAUUUUGAUUUGUUGGAAAAGUCAACUUUGUUAUUUUAUUUACCAUCAUUAAAUUAAAUUAUGAAAAUUGUAAUUAUACCAUAAAUUGUUUGUUAAAAAAAUUGUAAUCAUGUUAUUAGUUGUGAGUUAAACAUUAUAGUGUGCUUAGAUUUUGGUCCAAUUAUAUAGUGUUUGUGUAUUGUGAUACUGGUACAACAAGGUAAAUGAUAUUGUAAAUAUAAUAUUGUUGUUCCUAUUUGAUUCCAUUAUGUUAAGUUGGAAUAAAUUCGUGGAUUCGGCAAUUUCAUGUUGUUAUGUCGCCUAAAUUUCAAUACAUCAAUGAAACAUUUUCACCCCGUUA